rnacentral:sRNA from 1 species
GAACGAUGUCAGGCGACAGGGUGCUCGUC